rnacentral:rRNA from 1 species
CGGUCCAAACUCCUASGGGAGGCAGCAGUGAGGAAUAUUGGUCAAUGGGCGAGAGCCUGAACCAGCCAAGUAGCGUGAAGGAUGACCGCCCUAUGGGUUGUAAACUUCUUUUAUAUGGGAAUAAAGUCUGCCACGUGUGGCAUUUUGUAUGUACCAUAUGAAUAAGGAUCGGCUAACUCCGUGCCAGCAGCCGCGGUAAUACGGAGGAUCCGAGCGUUAUCCGGAUUUAUUGGGUUUAAAGGGAGCGUAGGUGGACAUGUAAGUCAGUUGUGAAAGUUUGCGGCUYMACCGUAAAAUUGCAGUUGAUACUGCGUGUCUUGAGUACAGUAGAGGUGGGCGGAAUUCGUGGUGUAGCGGUGAAAUGCUUAGAUAUCACGAAGAACUCCGAUUGCGAAGGCAGCUCACUGGACUGCAACUGACACUGAUGCUCGAAAGUGUGGGUAUCAAACAGGAUUAGAUACCCUGGUAGUCCACACAGUAAACGAUGAAUACUCGCUGUUUGCGAUAUACAGUAAGCGGCC